rnacentral:tRNA from 1 species
AGGGUUACAGCUCAGUGGUAGAGCACAUGCUUAGCAUGCACGAGAUCCUGGGUUCAAUCCCCAUUACCUCCA